GGAGGUGUCGCCUAGUUGGUCCAUGGCGCAGCACUGGAAAUGCUGUGAGCCAAAAGCUCACGUGGGUUCGAAUCCCACCACCUCCG
rnacentral:tRNA from 1 species